GGAGUUGUGGCUCAGUGUGGUAGAGCAUCUGCCUAGCAUGAGUGAUAUCCUAGGUUUAAUUCCCAGCACUGCCA
rnacentral:tRNA from 1 species